UACGUAGGUGGCAAGCGUUGUCCGGAUUUAUUGGGCGUAAAGAGCUCGUAGGCGGCUUGUCGCGUCGUCCGUGAAAACUUGGGGCUCAACCCCAAGCUUGCGGUCGAUACGGGCAGGCGUAGAGUUCGGUAGGGGAGACUGGAAUUCCUGGUGUAGCGGUGGAAUGCGCAGAUAUCAGGAGGAACACCGGUGGCGAAGGCGGUUCUCUGGGCCUGUUCUGACGCUGAGGAGCGAAAGCAUGGGGAGCGAACAGG
rnacentral:rRNA from 1 species